GACGAAGGAUGCAAGCGUUAUCCGGAUUCAUUGGGUUUAAAGGGAGCGUAGGCGGUCGGGUGUGUCAGAUGUGAAAUCCCGAGGCUCAACCUCGGAACUGCGUCUGAAACUACUCGACUAGAGUACUGGAGAGGGUAACGGAAUUCACGGUGUAGCAGUGAAAUGCGUAGAUAUCGUGAGGAACACCAGAGGCGAAGGCGGUUACCUGGACAGUUACUGACGCUCAGGCACGAAAGCAUGGGGAGCAAAAGGG
rnacentral:rRNA from 1 species